UUGGCGACCGGCGCACGGGUGCGUAACGCGUAUGUAACCUACCUAUAACAGGGGCAUAACACUGAGAAAUUGGUACUAAUUCCCCAUAAUAUUCGGAGAGGCAUCUCUCCGGGUUGAAAACUCCGGUGGUUAUAGAUGGACAUGCGUUGUAUUAGCUAGUUGGUGAGGUAACGGCUCACCAAGGCAACGAUACAUAGGGGGACUGAGAGGUUAACCCCCCACACUGGUACUGAGACACGGACCAGACUCCUACGGGAGGCAGCAUG
rnacentral:rRNA from 1 species